UACAGAGAGUGCAAGCGUUAAUCGGAAUUAUUGGGCGUAAAGGGUGUGUAGGUUGUUAAAAAGUUAGAUGUGAAAUCCCUGGGCGUAACCUAGGAAUUGCAUUUAAUACCUUUUAUCUAGAGUAUUGUAGGGGGAAGUGGAAUUUCCGGUGUAGCGGUGAAAUGCGUAGAUAUCGGAAGGAACACCAGUGGCGAAGGCGACCACCUGGCCAAAUACUGACGCUGAGGUGCGAAAGCGUGGGGAGCAAACAGGAUUAGAAACCCCAGUAGU
rnacentral:rRNA from 1 species